GGAGGUUUGUGCUUGUUGGUUGUAUAGAUCAGGAUUACUGUAACCAGUGCAGAGGCUGAAGUUAUUUCUCCAAAUGACACUCUCAAGCUUCUAAGUUAUCACAGAGGACGGGUAUCUUAAUAUCAGCAGCUGAUGACAUACUCCAGACACGUCUGAAAAUGCUCUGCCCUGGAUUUGGAUAUAUACUAUUAAUGGCCUACAUGGGAAUGGUAGCAGCACAGUGUUGAAAAAAAGCAGUACUGGUCGUCCUACAGUAACUCCCAUGACAUCUGAUGAUGAUGACGCUGCGGAAGCAGGUCCAUCAAAAGAAGUCUGGAGCAGCAGAAGUCGGACUUCUGUAAAACACCACCAGUGGUGCAGGUAGAAAAAAUUUCUUACAGCUUCUAGUCCUGGUAACAGCAUCCCUCCGCAACAACAGCAACACAGUGACAUGGAUGAGACAAUCAUGUUAGAAAUGCAGCCAUUAAGCCAAGGAAUGAGCCCCCCAGCACCUGUGAGUACACCACCACAGCAAAGCACUCCACCACCAUAACACAGCCCAACAACACCAGUAACACAAGGCCCUGAUCACGUGUUUUGGAACAUUUGGGCUAGACAGCAGGCCACUAAUGAAGAUUGCCUGCGUAGGCAGACAUAAAUGUUUGCAAGCCUACCAUGUCACCUCAGAAGAUUAAACAGAAAUAUGAGUAGACAAAAUGAACAAACCACGAGAAUUGCCAAUACCAUGGAAAUCAUGCAUGCAGACAUUACACAGGUCAUGGCCAACUUACAGCGCAUAAUGGAAGAACAGCACAGACUAAUGGAAGAACAGCACAGACAACAGCAAAGCUAUAUGAACAUUUUUCAAAACAAUCAAAAGAUAAAUGAAAAUGUAUUCCGAAUUGUAGACAAUCAAAAUGCUGCUACACGUGAACUCAAUGCUACCCUCACUAACCUCAAUGAAACACUCAGAUCCAUGCACCAACAGCAAACAAGCAGCAGUUCUGGUACGACUACUCCAAAUAUCAUGCCAGUGUCAUCACCACCAAGACGCUCCACCAGAGCACGCCAACAUGACAGUGCUAAAGGCAAAGGGCAGGACAAGCAGCCACCCAAAAAAAAUUAACUAAUAAACCUCACAUUUUAUAUUUCAGAGAACUAAAUCAAAAUACUUAGUAAGUGUAUGUUUGUCAAAAUAGAUAUAACACUUAGCUCCUUGACAAUUUGUACAACAUCAUUAAUUAUAAGUGGUACAAACAACAACAGGAAAUUAGUACGCACAUUUAUUCUUUACCAUCUUUGAAUUUUUUUGGAGGAGGGAAAUGUUUGAGCUGCACAUAGAUGUUAGCAGGAAGUAACCAGACCACUUGAUUUUUUUUCUAAUCAUUACUCUUUCUAGAUUCCAAUCAAUCUCAGAUCUUGCAGACACAAUAAUUGGCAGCCAGCCAGAAUGUCUUUAGCAGGAAGUAAACAGAACACUUGAUUUUUUUCUAAUCAUUACUCUUUCUAGAUUCCAAUCAAUCUCAGAUCCUGCAGACACAAUAAUUGGCAGCCAGCCAGCCAGAAUGUCUUUAGCAGGAAGUAAACAGACCACUUGAUGUUUUUCUAAUCAUUACUCUUUCUAGAUUCCAAUCAAUCUCAGAUCCUGCAGACACAAUAAUUGGCAGCCAGGCAUAAUCAUCCAUGACCAAUGCAACUUACAAUGUGAAUUAAAACUAGUUUACAUUUCUUCUGUAGAUGACUUUACAAGAAAAACACAAUAGAGUUGUGUAAAAGUGUCCUAAUAUGUUUUUAAUUUUAAAAUUUUUAAAACCAAAAUGAAUGACAUUAUUGUUGUGGCAUGUUUGUGUGUGUAAAAAAUGAGUAAUCAUAUUUAAAAACCUGAGGCACAACCCACAAAAUGAAAAUUAUUUUAACUUUUAACACUAAUGUGUGUAAUAAUGGAUAUAUGUCGAAAAAUGUGUAUUGACUUUUAAAACUCCAAAUUUACUCCAGCAAACAUAAGGCAAUAAAUUA